UACAGAGGGUGCGAGCGUUGUCCGGAAUCACUGGGCGUAAAGGGCGCGUAGGCGGCUCAUGAAGGCUGUGGUGAAAGUCCGGGGCUCAACCUCGGAUCGGCCGUGGCGACUCGUGGGCUGGAGCACUGUAGAGGCGGGUGGAAUUCCGGGUGUAGCGGUGGAAUGCGUAGAGAUCCGGAAGAACACCAGUGGCGAAGGCGGCCCGCUGGGCAGUGGCUGACGCUGAGGCGCGACAGCGUGGGGAGCAAACAGG
rnacentral:rRNA from 1 species